AUCCCUUCCUCCCUCCUGUGCGCCGCCAGACAGAGAGAGAGAGAGAGAACAGAGUGUCUCGCCUGAUCCCCAUCUCCCUCCGCUCUCCCUGCACCCGACCUCCUCCUUGAUGCAGGCCCCACCGCCGAGUGCCGUCCCUUCACGUGAUCCUCCUCCGCGCCACCUCCUCACCUCCCGUGCCUCCGGCGCGCCGGCCUGGGACUGCCGCCGCUGAGCUCCACCAGGACCCCGACGCGCCCCUUCUUCCUGUGCCUCGUCCCCAACGCCCGGAGGCCUCCGCCUGCUCCUCCCUCGACUGCACCGGUCAUCGGAGCCCGCCGACUCGUUCCCCUCCUCCACGACUCUGGCGUGUUGUGUCCCCACCACCAACUUGCUACUGCUCUGCCCCGGUCUGCCUCCGCUCAAGCUGCUGACCAUCUCCAGCCCCGGGCCAGCGCCGUCGACCGCCUCCCUCGAUCCAUGCCAAGGACGACGCCCGCCACUCCGUCUUGUUGCUGCUCUUCCCGUGAUGCUACACUGUCGACCUCUUGUUGCCGCAAGACCCUCCCCAUCGCGCACCGUCGUCGUUCUGUUUCAUCUCUCUCAAGGUCGAGAGGACGCCAGGUGCCAGGAGGCUCGCCAUGUACCCGACCCGGAUGCGCCAAGUUCGACUCUGACGCUGUGAACGACUACACACCGACCCUGUAUUCAAACCUCAAGCGCCAAGUUCUGCUAUAGUCGCCAAAACCCGAGACGAAGUACCCCUACGGUUCAUCGAGACUGGCAAGUCACAAGACCGUCCUGGAUAUCGUCAAGUACCACGACAACCCUCGAAGAGUUCGGAUUCGUCAAGUUCGACUAUGAAACGUGAACCACUACUUUCUUUUGCAUGUUCUGCACAUUCACACUUUCUUUUGCACCGAUAUCUUGACGAGUUGUCGGAUCAUCGGAAUGUUGCCGUGGCACCAUUUCCAUUGUAGCUGCCGUGGCACCCCUUUAGUCCCACCAAGGUGAUAAAUGCUUCAUAACAUGCUCAUGUAACAUUUUCAUAAAAUUUCAUAAACUUGUCCAUGUCAUCUGCAUAAUGACAAUUA